GACGUAGGGGGCCAGCGUUGUUCGGAAUUACUGGGUGUAAAGGGUUCGUAGGCGGUGUGGCAAGUCGGGAGUGAAAUCUCUGGGCUCAACUCAGAGACUGCUUCCGAAACUGCUGUGCUGGAGUGUGGGAGAGGCGCGUGGAAUUGCAGGUGUAGCGGUGAAAUGCGUAGAUAUCGGGAGGAACACCUGUGGCGAAAGCGGCGCACUGGACCACAACUGACGCUGAGGCGCGAAAGCUAGGGGAGCAAACAGG
rnacentral:rRNA from 1 species